rnacentral:lncRNA from 1 species
AGCAGCAUCUUCUAAGGUGUUCUCACAAAGCACUAAGCCUGGUGGUGCCAAAUCCGUUUUGCUUUUGCGUUAUAGGAAUUGCACGAGGUCGAAAAGGGUUAAAAGCAUGGAAUGCAGGUUGCACAAUCCAGAAUACAGGCUUGGUGCAGUGUCAGAUCCAUGGAAGGAGUCUCCAGGAAGAAAGCCUCCAAAUUGAGCAGGGGUGGAAACCUUCGAGACAACCAGCCUUCCCUCCACGAUUUUCACUCAGUCAAUUUAGCUUAUAAACUGUGCAAGCUGGUUUGAGACAUCUGUGGGGCAGAACUCACUGUACACCGUCCCUGUCUAGGACUGUCUCUCACCAGAACAGUGCCCCGAGGGUAAGCUCUUGCUACUGCCGAUGUUUAACUAUUUGCACUCAAUACAAAUGACUUACAAAUACAAUUGUGUAAGUCAGGUCAUGCAGAAACACUUCCCAUAUGUGACACCAUGUGGCAUUUAAGUCGCCCCAGUUUAAGAAUCACUUCUAUUGCACAAGUAAGAAAACAGACUCCAAGAUGCUAAAGAUAUACAGGAUCCCAUGGAUGAAAAGUGGUAGACUGGGCUGGCCUGACUCACCUUUUCCUAAUUAAUGGUGACAAAUGUCACACCCUGCCUCCCAUCCUAAAGUUAACC